UGAGCAAUCUGCCCUUCUCUUUGGAAUAAGCGUUGGAAACGACGUCUAAUGCCGAAUACGACCUCCUUUCGCAUGAUCGGAGGUGGAAAGCUCCGGCGGUGAAGGAUGAGCUCGCGGCCUAUCAGCUAGUUGGUGAGGUAAUAGCUCACCAAGGCGAUGACGGGUAGCCGGCCUGAGAGGGUGACCGGCCACACUGGGACUGAGACUCGGCCCAGACUCCGUAGGAGG
rnacentral:rRNA from 1 species